rnacentral:misc_RNA from 1 species
AAGUCGUAACAAGGUUUCCGUAGGUGAACCUGCGGAAGGAUCAUUAACACUUAUUAUUAUUAUCCAAUAUCAAAAAAAUAAAACCAAACGGCAUUUUUUCUUCUCCCUAUUUCGAUUUUCCCGGAGACGGGUCGAUUAGGCUAAACCUUUUUUCAACAUUUUAACAAACCCCAUAUUUUUUUCUUCUGAAUUGAUAGAAAUAUUUCUUCAAAGCAAAAAAACCAACUCUUCGAUUUCUUUUAGUGUUUAACCACGCUAUAAAAAAUCGAACUAAACUAAAAUAUACAUUUGAUUAUAUUUUUAUUUUACGAAAUAAUAUAUAUAUUUAUAAGAACAACUCUUAGCAAUGGAUAUCUUGGUUCUC